UGGCUCUGAUUUCUCUUCAGUCACACAUGAAUCUUUUGCCUUUUACUAAAGAUUUCUGUGGCAGGGCUAGCCAAUGAGUUUGAUGUAUUUUUGUGAGCUUUGCUCUUGUAAAGCU